GAAAAUAAGUCUCAUGAACUUUUCUGCCCAAGCUGGCUUUGAAUCUGUCUGUAGAUCUCAACUCGCUCGGUCGAAGAGGAUGACCAUCCCCGAUAGAGGAGGACCGGUCUUCGGUCAAGGGUAUACGAGUAGCUGCGCUCCCCUGCUAGAACCUCCAAACAAGCUCUCAACUAACUGUGUAGCAAUCUCUUUCUCAAAACAACUUUAACUUGAUCUUU
rnacentral:snRNA from 1 species